CCCUUAGAUGUUCUGGGCUGCACGCGCGCUACACUGAUGCAUUCAACAAGUUUUACCUUGGCCGAGAGGCCUGGGAAAUCUUUCAAAUAUGUAUCGUGAUAGGGAUAGAUUAUUGCAAUUAUUAAUCUUGAACGAGGAAUUCCUAGUAAAUGCAGAUCAUCAUUCUGCGUUGAUUACGUCCCUGCCCUUUGUACACACCGCCCGUCGCACCUACCGAUUGAAUGAUCCGGUGAAGCCUCGGGAUUGUGCCCAGAGAACUUUAUUGUGAUUUGGGUGUGAGAACUUGUCUAAACCUUAUCAUUUAGAGGAAGGUGAAGUCGUAACA
rnacentral:rRNA from 1 species